rnacentral:rRNA from 1 species
CUCCGGUUGAUCCCGCCGGACCUGACUGCUAUCGGAUUGGUACUAAGCCAUGCGAGUCAUUGUAGCAAUACAAGGCGGACGGCUCAGUAACACGUAGUCAACCUAACUCGUGGACGUGGAUAACCUCGGGAAACUGAGAAUAAACCACGAUAGACCAUAGUGCCUGGAAUGGCUUAUGGUCCAAACAGUUUACUGCCAUGGGAUGGGACUGCGGCCUAUCAGCUUGUUGGUGAGGUAAUGGCCCACCAAGGCGAUUACAGGUACGGGCUCUGAGAGGAGAAGCCCGGAGAUGGGUACUGAGACACGGACCCAGGCCCUAUGGGGCGCAGCAGGCGAGAAACCUUAGCAAUGUGCGAAAGCACGACUGGGUCAGUCCGAGUGAUUCCUGAUAAAGGAGUCUUUUGCUUGUCCUAAAAGCACAGGUGAAUAAGGGGUGGGCAAGUCUGGUGUCAGCCGCCGCGGUAAUACCAGCACCUCGAGUGGUCAGGACGUUUAUUGGGCCUAAAGCAUCCGUAGCCGGCUUUGCAAGUCUUCGGUUAAAUCCACCUGCUCAACAGAUGGGCUGCUGGAGAUACUACAAAGCUAGGGAGUGGGAGAGGCAGACGGUAUUCAGUGGGUAGGGGUAAAAUCCUCUGAUCCAUUGAGGACCACCAGUGGCGAAGGCGGUCUGCCAGAACACGUUCGACGGUGAGGGAUGAAAGCUGGGGGAGCAAACCGGAUUAGAUACCCGGGUAGUCCCAGCUGUAAACGAUGCAAACUCGGUGAGGCAUUGGCUUAUGGCCAAUGCAGUGCCGCAGGGAAGCCGUUAAGUUUGCCGCCUGGGAAGUACGGACGCAAGUCUGAAACUUAAAGGAAUUGGCGGGGGAGCA